AUGACCGCAGCACGUAAAACAAACCUACUAAUAAAAAUAAUUAACCACUCACUCAUUGAUCUUCCCACCCCAUCCAAUAUCUCUAUAUGAUGAAAUCUUGGCUCACUUCUCGGCACCUGCCUAAUCCUUCAAACCAUUACAGGCCUAUUCCUGUCUGGACAGUAUUCACCAGAUACCUCAACCGCCUUCUUCUCAGUCGCCCACAUUACCCGAGAUGUAAACUACGGCUGAAUCAUCUGCUGCCUCCACGCCCAUGGAGCUUCAAUAUUUUUUAUCUGAGUCUUCCUACAUAUUGGCCGAGGCUUGUACUACGGCUCAUUCUUAUUUUUAGAAAACUGAAAUACUGGUAUUAUUCUCCUACCCACAACCAUAGCAACAGCCUUCAUAGGCUAUGUGCUUCCAUGAGGCCAAAUAUCAUUCCCAGGGGCCACAGUAAUCACAAACCUACUAUCAGCCAUUCCACACGUUGGAACUAACCUUCUCUAAUAAGUCUGGGGUGGAUAUUCAGUUGACAAGCCUACCCUCACACGACCUUCACUUUAUCUUACCCUUUAUCAUUACAGCCCUAGCAGCCCUUCACCUACUAUUUCUCCAUGAAACAGGAUCAAAUGACCCUUCAGGAGUCUCCUCCCACUCUGAUAAAAUCACCUUCCACCCUUACUACACAAUCAAAGAUAUCCUAGGUUUAAUCUUUCUCCUUCUCACUCUCAUAAUUCUAAUGCUAUUUUCACCUGACCUCCUGAGCGACCCAGACAAUUAUACUCUAGCUAACCUGCUAAACACCCCACCUCAUAUUAAACCCUAAUGAUAUUUUUUAUUCACAUAUGCAAUCUUACGAUCUAUGCCUAAUAAACUAGGAGGUGUACUAGCCCUCCUGCUAUCAAUCCUUAUUCUAGCAGCCAUCCCUACACUUCACACAUCUAAACAGCAGAGUAUAAUGUUUUGCCCACUAAGUCAAUUCCUAUACUGACUCUUAGUCACAGACCUACUAGUCUUUACAUGAAUGGGAGGGCAGCCAGUAAGCCACCCCUUUAUUACCAUUAGACUAGCAGCAUCCGUAAUAUACUUCACUAUAAUUCUGACCUUAAUACCACUCGCCUCUCGAAUCGAAAAUAAACUACUUAAAUGA
rnacentral:lncRNA from 1 species